rnacentral:lncRNA from 1 species
CCGGGGAGGGUGGUUACCGCUGAGGAGCUGCAGUCUCUGUCAAGAUGAUAGAGGUACUGACAACAACUGACUCUCAGAAACUGCUACACCAGCUGAAUGCCCUGUUGGAACAGGAGUCUAGAUGUCAGCCAAAGGUCUGUGGUUUGAGACUAAUUGAGUCUGCACACGAUAAUGGCCUCAGAAUGACUGCAAGACUAAGGGACUUUGAAGUAAAAGAUCUUCUUAGUCUAACUCAGUUCUUUGGCUUUGACACAGAGACAUUUUCUCUAGCUGUGAAUUUACUGGACAGAUUCCUGUCUAAAAUGAAGGUACAGCCCAAGCACCUUGGGUGUGUUGGACUGAGCUGCUUUUAUUUGGCUGUAAAAUCAAUAGAAGAGGAAAGGAAUGUCCCAUUGGCAACUGACUUGAUCCGAAUAAGUCAAUAUAGGUUUACGGUUUCAGACUUGAUGAGAAUGGAAAAGAUUGUAUUGGAGAAGGUGUGUUGGAAAGUCAAAGCUACUACUGCCUUUCAAUUUCUGCAACUGUAUUAUUCACUCCUUCAAGAGAACUUGCCACUUGAAAGAAAUAGCAUUAAUUUUGAAAGACUAGAAGCUCAACUGAAGGCAUGUCAUUGCAGGAUCAUAUUUUCUAAAGCAAAGCCUUCUGUGUUGGCAUUGUCUAUCAUUGCAUUAGAGAUCCAAGCACAGAAGUGUGUAGAGUUAACAGAAGGAAUAGAAUGUCUUCAGAAACAUUCCAAGAUAAAUGGCAGAGAUCUGACCUUCUGGCAAGAGCUUGUAUCCAAAUGUUUAACUGAAUAUUCAUCAAAUAAGUGUUCCAAACCAAAUGUUCAGAAGUUGAAAUGGAUUGUUUCUGGGCGUACUGCACGGCAAUUGAAGCAUAGCUACUACAGAAUAACUCACCUUCCAACAAUUCCUGAAAUGGUCCCUUAACUGGAUUAUUACAGCACCAAAAAACUUCUCUGAAGCCUUUCUCCACAACCUUGUUCUAUGGAUUCCAUAAUGUUACAAUGGAUUUAAGCUAUGAAGCCUCAAAACAUCACGAGAUAAGCAUGAUGGUCUCAGACUUGGGAAAACUGCCUAAUAUUAUGCUGUAGUGGAAUUAUGUUUAGAUUUGAAUUCAUCUGUGAAGCAUUCAAAUCAAAGCUAAAAGCCUAAAUGUGAAAUGCUAAUGACAAGCCUGAGAAGGUAAACUGUGAAUCUUCAUUUCUAUCAUUGAUCUAACUUUAGAUAUUGGAUCAAUAUAUUUAGGUGGUAUUGAAAAUGCUAUUGGAGGAGUCACACUAAUACUAUCAACUAUCAGUCUUCCCACAGCUUCAAUCACUGUCAUUAUUCUAAUCCUACUCCUACUUAAAUUUUAAGUUAUGAGGUUUAUGUCAAAAGCAACAUUUCACAAAUGUACUUUUAAGGCAUAAUAAGGGUUAACAUUCUAGGCAGUAUAAACACACCCCAUAAUGCAAGUAAUAGGUAAUCUAGAGAUGUGGACUUUAUUGCUAUAUGGGAAUUACAUUUAAAUUUGAGGGCAUUUUAUAUAAAGAAAAAUACAGACCUAUAAAGUUUGGCAUAUUCAUUAAGUUAUCUUUUAAUAUUUUUUUCUAGAAAACAGGUGACAUUUGUAUCUACGAUAAAAAUUUUUAUACAGAACCUACUGCCUCAAACUGAAUCCCAUCAAGAAAACUAGUUUCUAUUGUAUUAGUAACUCAAAAUAAAUUAUCACUUCGAAAACUUGCUUUCCCACACUAAGGUAAGUUCAGACUAGAUUGAACACUCCAGAAUUUUUUACUACAGACUGUUUUUAAGUUAGAAGUGAUGGCAAUUUUAUAAAUAGAGAAUAUACUUCCACUGAUGCCCUUACUGUGCCAAAACAAAAAUCUUAAGAAAAGCAAGUAGACACCUUCAUAACUAUGAAUGAAGCUGCUGAAGUAGUGUUUAGGAUCCUCCAUGGCAGUUAGUGAAUGUAAGAAGUACAGUGUUAAAGUGUUGUAAACAGUUACUCAGUGCAAUGUAUAGCCUGAGUCUAUCCAUGAUGGCUAUAUCCAAUUUGACAUCACGUUAUGGAUCAGUACACAAUGAAAAACCAAAGAACCACAGUAUAUCUUAUUCUUAACUUUUGUAAACCAUGUUUUAUGGGUAACUUUUUAGUUUUCCCAAAAGGCUGAUAAAUUUCAAUAUUUUGAAUACAUCAUUGUUAAUUUUGAGUUGGCAGAGGUAAACUAACCAACUACCAUUAUGUUUUAGUACUAAGGGAUAUACCUUUCAAUAAAGUUAAUGAAAUUCA